rnacentral:sRNA from 2 species
AGCUAUUCAUGCAUUGAAGGUGGCUGGGCGGAUAUUUUUUUUUCAUGUCAUACAGCUCAAUGUGCAUAGCUGAAGCGCGAAAGAGGAGUCGGCCAGUGAGGAGAUCAUCGUAGGAUUUUCAGAGAGCCGGGGUAGAAUACACAUACCGGCUGCUGGCGCCGUGGGAUGUUGUUGAAGGCCAAUGCCAGUCUGAGAUCUCCAAGUGCGGGCAACAUUACUGGCUGAUAAAAGUUCCCGAAUCACUAGCUAUGGGGAAGAGCGCGACAAACUUGAGCUAGGAGGAAGGGCAUCAUGCCCAUAUGUCGUUUAUGGGGGG